rnacentral:rRNA from 1 species
UACGUAGGGUGCGAGCGUUGUCCGGAAUUAUUGGGCGUAAAGGGCUCGUAGGCGGUUUGUCGCGUUGGGAGUGAAAUCCACUGGCUUAACUGGUGGCUUGCUUUCGAUACGGGCAGACUGGAGGUAUGCAGGGGAGAACGGAAUUCCUGGUGUAGCGGUGAAAUGCGCAGAUAUCAGGAGGAACACCGGUGGCGAAGGCGGGUCUCUGGGCCGAUACUGACGCUGAGGCGCGAAAGCUAGGGUAGCAAACGGG